rnacentral:rRNA from 1 species
AUGUUGAGUGCCGAAGAGCUGAAUGUAACGCUCCGGAUUCGUUGCGCCAGGUGUCCGCUAGUUAUUCGCUGUCUUUGCCAUGUCAUUUGCUUGCGUGUUGCAUUUUAUCAUGUCAUCAUGUGCAUUUCAUUUUGCAUACGUGUUCGUCUCAUGCAUCCGAACAUUUUCCCCGUUGUCCGUUUUGCAAUCCGGCGCUUCUAUGCCUUUCGGCGUUUCCCUUUCGUCUCUCGUUGUGAGUGGGUGUUAAACUUUCUCGGAAUGGACCGAGGCUUGCCAAGUGGCCUUGGUAUAACACCGGUAGAUCGCCUGUCAAGUUUCGUGCCAUUUGGAGUCCGUUUGAUACUCCAACGGUUAACCGGGUAA